CGAUUUUGAAGUCGGUUUCAGAAAGUCCGAGGGUACUUACACCACUUUCUUUGUUUUUUAUAAAUUUCUUUUUUGGAUGUUUUUACUCAUGAAUGGACUGAUUGGAAAGUCUGUCAUAGGUUUGAUCUAGAUUACCCGACGAGGUUCUUUGGGCCGACUUCCAUCACAAUGUGACCAUUUAAAGUGGCCAAAAGAAGCAACCGAGAGUUUCCGGACUAUGGCCCUUUAUUUGCUUGCAAACUACCAGAACAUACUCGUCACAACUGAAGUUCUUUACCAGCGGGUUUUUACUGAUUCGAGGCAAACUCCCCACGGCUACUGGCGAUAACCAUCAUAAGAUAAUCUUUCCAGGUUAUGAGUGACAUCACUCCAUGCUAAUAGAACAUCAGACAGAAAUAUGUUUUCGUCACAUCUUACAACCUUGGCCAAUCUUGAUAACAGCAGCCCAUUUAGCACAGGGAAAUCAACAACUGGCUACUUGAGCCAAGAAUUAUAAGAACGAUUGGGUCAAUAUUGACCACAACUGACCAUUUCGGACAAUGCUGACCUCAACUGACAUUUAUGGAUAAUACUGGCUACAACUGACCAUUUCGGUCAAUACUAGGUCACAUGCUCCCAAACCGGAACUCCUGUUUGCAGGGUUACAUGCUGUCAACUUAGCACACAUUGUUCAGUGCAUGCUGCCUAGGAUUUGUAAAAUACCUUGCAAAUGGUAUGUUUUGAUAUCAAAUUGAUGGUAUAUUGUAAGAAAUA